GCCUUCGUGGUGUAGUGGUUAGCAUGCCAGGCACAUAUUCCAGAGGUCCGUGGUUCGAGUCCCGGCGAAAGCG
rfam:Stegodyphus mimosarum contig28780, whole genome shotgun sequence.